ACGGGAGGCAGCAGUGAGGAAUAUUGGUCAAUGGAGGCAACUCUGAACCAGCCAUCUCGCGUGAAGGAAUACGGCCCUAUGGGUCUUAAACUUCUUUUAUAGGGGGAUAAAGUGAGCCACGUGUGGCUUUUUGUAGGUACCCUAUGAAUAAGCAUCGGCUAACUCCGUGCCAGCAGCCGCGGUAAUACGGAGGAUGCGAGCGUUAUCCGGAUUUAUUGGGUUUAAAGGGUGCGCAGGCGGCACGUUAAGUCAGCGGUGAAAUGUCGGGGCUCAACCCGGGCACUGCCGUUGAAACUGGAGAGCUUGAUUGCGGUCGAGGUUUGCGGAAUUCGUCGUGUAGCGGUGAAAUGCAUAGAUAUGACGAAGAACACCGAUUGCGUAGGCAGCAGACCAGGCCGUAAAUGACGCUCAUGCACGAAAGUGCGGGGAUCGAACAGGAUUAGAUACCCUGGUA
rnacentral:rRNA from 1 species